ACCGCCUAAACAAAAGAUUGCACAACGCAAACUCCUGUAUAUAUGGACUAUAUAAGGUAUAAAAUUACAAACUGGCAGAAGAAAAAUUGCUAGUGAAAGAAUUUAAAGAUCGUCGGUUUCUCACUCGUUCAGGAAUGCUCAGUACAGAUUUUAAUUAACCCCACUUUAGAGGAAACAUUUCCUGCCACACUCGGUAUUUGGACGCGGCAGAGUGCAUGAAGUAUAUGCAGCUGGGUUAGACGAUUUUAUUACCGACAUUCCGCUUUCAUGGGUUUCCGCAUAUUUCUCUCUGGAAAGCUUGGAAAUGCGCGGACGAGAUUUCGAAAAUUUAAUAGUAAAUAUAUAGAAAGCAUCAAAAUUGCUUGUACAUCAUGACGUCAUAUAACUGUAAAAUACAACAUAUAUAUUCUCCUGUACAAAAACCCCAGUCUCACAAAAUAUGUCAACAGCGAUCUCCGCAUUUUAUACCACAAGCGCUAUAAUAAUUGAAAUACUACAGCAUGACAUCAUGAUCACCUGCAUUUGCAUGGCGUCUUACAAAACCCAGUACUGUACAUGAGUAGUUACUUAUAUAGCUAGCGUACCAACUACCAAAACGAAAAGGUUUACGGCAUAUUUCACCAGAUCAAAACAAUUCCUAAUACGAUACACUGUUAUUUCAGAGGUUAUUUCCUAUUUUAUGCCAUCGCGUAUACACCCCACAUGCAAUUCGAACUAAACAUACUUCACAGCUCACUACAGUGUAUCACACACCGAGACAAAGCCAAAUUAAGGGGUAGUAGAGCACUCGCAUUCUACUACAAAUUUAUUCAUCGCGCAUUGAGACAACUAUUAUCGACCAGCUCAUGAUUACACAGAGCAGUUUUUGCUUUUCUCCGUCUCUCUUUUAGUCAUUCUGCUACAAACGAAGGAAGGACAUGAAGAAGAUCUCAGCAUUUGCGCCAUCUUGGUUUCCGCCUUCCAUCACCUAUCUGGAUCACUCCUACGUCCUAAUGGCUAUGAACUCUCUACGUAUAUAUGAACUAUUUAUGACAUAAUCUACAUAAUAU
rnacentral:lncRNA from 1 species